AAAGGAUUAAAGAAAAGUCUAGCAUAAUAGAUUCAUUACAAAAGACAAUAGGGAGCAAACAUAUACAAAUUAUUUUAAGAUUUCUAAAAAGAACAAAAUUAUUUAAUAGAAUUUGAGUAUAUAAGAUAUUAAUCCAUGUUGAACCACACUCCAUACCAGUGGUGGCGGUAAUGCACACCUACAGAAUCAUGCCAACCGCCAUUAAACACCAGAAGAAGAAGAAGAAGAUUGUUCCACAGUGCAGGAUCUGCAGGGUCUGUACUGGAAUCCACAGAAGGCGUUGAUAUCAACAAACAGCUUUACAACCCAGUGAAACUCCCGUAGGCUCCGGACUGUCUCCACAGAUAGACCUUCUGUAAAUGUGAAUUUGGACCCGUCAAGUAUGGUGAUUAGGAGAUCUGCCAGGGGGGAGGAGUAGUGAGAUGAUGGAAAACUCCGGGAGCGUGUCGGCGUGGGCCCCAUGCUGACAGGCCUGACUGGCUGUGGGGAGCAGAGGGGAAAUCAAUGAGUGCUCACAAUAGAGUGCCAGCAUCCAGACAGCUAACAGCUCCCCGAGGCCAUGCGAGAGAGGUGGUGGAGGAGAAAAAGGGCGGAUGAUAGGGGGGAGGACAGAGAAAAAGGCUGAGGAAGGUGGAAUGAGCUCUCUAAAGGGACGGCUCGACUCAGCCCGCAGACCUUCAGUGUCUCUGGAGGGGGUGAAAAAAAAAGUGCUUUGUGCCAGAGAGUUCAGGACGGUGCCUUGGAGCAGCAGGAGAAGGGAUUGAAUCUCCUCCAGAAAAAAUAAAUAACGCCCUUGUCUGCAAAGUGACCGGUGCUCGCUCUCAGACUUUCAAGGCGGCUCGAGUUACUGUGGCCCCCAGGGAGGAGCAGACAGGUUGUGUCUGAGAGGAAUACCUCCCCACACAUGACAUCAUUCCUGGGAUGGCUGCAGCACAAAAAAAAUAGGCUCUCAGCUCAACCAAAACACAAGAACAGGACCUGAUAUUUUUCAGCAGACAUGUUUGAGCACAUGACGUUAUGUGGUGAGAACAUUGUGUGAUCCGUCAAAGGUUUGGGUUUGAUUGCUGACUGAUCAGGACCCUUGUUAGUCCAUGGAAAGCUUCAGGAAAGCUUCAAUUAUUUGCAUUCAAGAGACUUCAGAGUGGCAGUGCUCAGACAGUGAAGUUCCCAAUUUAAUAUGUGCGCACACACACACACACACACACACACACACACACAAAGUAAUAGUGCGAUCUUACAAGCCAGCCUUAGACUUGAGUCUAUUGUGUGAGUUGAAAUUAGCUCCUACCACCCUGCUCCCAAUGAGGGUGGUCUCCCCUGGGCGCUGUGGAUGACAUUAAAGGGAUUUGUCCGUGAAGAUCUGACUCUAUUACUGCUGAUAAUGCGCUGGCAGAAAACCACAGAGAGAUCAGAGAGUAAAGUAUGGCUCACAACUUGUAAUCAUGUAUAUCUUAAUAAUAUAAGCAAGCUUAUUUGCUUCAUCUGAAUCAUCAGAUGCUUCUUCUGUACAGAAGAAGCUUGCAGACCUUUAAUUGUUGGACCACAGUUAAGUAUCUGCAGCUGAUGGAUGCAUGGCAAGGGAUAGAAAAGUCAAAAUAUGUAAAGCAAAACGAAAGGAUACCACAGAGGACAGCACCACCUGCUGGUUGAGUCUGGGGAAUGAACUGGGGUGGGAAGGCUGAUUCAAACACACAGAUGUCACUGAGAUGAGCACAUCAAUGACUGUUUCUGCUUAACAUGCCCUUGAGGGACUGGUUGAGCUGCUGCACACAUCAAGACCAGCUGCUGUGCUUUUGAUGCUAAACGGCAGGUUGUAAAAUGUCAGUUAAAUCCUUGCAUUUCAUAAAGUUUGGGUAAUUGAUGAAAUGUCUGGUCCAGUGCCAUGCAAAAGUACUCAUGCUCCUUGAACCCUUUCCAACUUUGUCGGGUUACAAUCACAAACUGCAAUUUGAUGUAGUUAAACACCAAAUAGUGAAUAAUGUUAAAGUGGAAGGAUAAGGUAAAAUGGUUUUACAAAAUGUUUUACAGAAAUAAAUCUGAGAGUGAAAUGCAUUUGUAUUGAGCUCCUUUAAAGACUCUGUCUCUGUGGCAGGUGGAUCUCAGCCCCAGUCUCAAAUCUUUUGUGGACUUGAAUGUGUUUUAUUCCAGGAUCUCCCAAAUAUUAGCUCUACCCAUCCUCCCAUCCACUCUGACCAACUUCCCUGCCCACACAGCCUGAUGCUGGCGCCAUCAUGUUUUUUUCUCCAUCAUGGAGGGUGUGUUCAAGGUGAUAUUUAGUGUUAGUUUUCUGCCACACAGAGUUUUUAUUGUGGAUCAAGCUUUUAGGAAACUUUAAACUGGACAUUGCAAAUUUCUGUCAGCAAUGGCUUUCUUCUCAUCAAUGCUCCAUAAAGAAUUGUAGUGUCCAACUAAUAGUUGCAUGGGCCUUUUGCUGUUUGUUCUCUAACAAACCUCUAAAGCCUUCACAGAACAGCUGUUUUUAUACUGAGAAUAACUUAUACACAAGUGAACUCACUUUACUUAUCACACGAUCCUUAAAGACAAUUGAUUGCUCCGGUUUUUAUUUAGGUUUAUCAGAUUAUAUGAGGCUGAAUACAUAUCCAUGACACACUUUUUCAUCUGACUAAACAACCACCAAUUUUCCUUCCAGUUCACAACUUUGCACAACCUGGUGUUGGUCUAUCACAUAAGAUCCCAAUAAAACUUACUGGAUUUGAGCUUAGAAAUGUUACAGAGGGUUGAAAAUGUAUCAGUGACAAUAAAGCAAAAAGACCAGGUUGCUCCUGUUAUGCCUCACAUUCCUUUCCAAACACAGGUUGAAGAUGUUUUCUGUCAUGCUGUGGUCUUUCCUGGUCUCCAUAAUCUGUUGUUGACAUCCGUCUGUGGCAUGACGCACCACAUAAUACUGUGCAAACAUCUCAGCUGAGAAUGGACUCUGGACCUGGAUCACCAGUGUGCUGUAAACCACCGAUCCACCCACAUGUUGCCGCAUUUGGGACCUGCAGUACAAAAAAAUAAAAACAGCAAAAUGACUCAUCAUUGUGUUAAGAAGGAGCCGCCCAGGUUAAUCUGCGAGCGGCAUCAGCACAACAGUUUUCUGUAACACCACAGCACCUGACCCUACGCUCACCUCGCCACAGCUCCCUCUUCCUCUGGCUGUUUGGACUGCGUUGCCAGGCAGUGGUCUCUGUAAACACAGCACCUGGCAGCUUCAGCAGGAAACCACUACGAGCUCUGUGGAAAAUUAGAUACCAUUACUGCAAACACACCCGUUUUGCUCGGAUAACUGGAUAUCUUUGCAAGAGUUGAACUGUGUCAAUCUCUUCUCUUUUGUUUUUGUAUGUUUUCCUACAAGAACCUUGAUUUUCCCCAACAAUCCUAUCUGAAUGUUUACUCAUGAACUCCCAGCAUCGGCUCCCACUCCUCAUUACCACAAGCAACAUUUCACCAAUUAACUCUCUCUCUAAUUUAUAUUACAAACAUGGCCAAGAAAGUGUCAUUUACUGGACCUCCAUGCUGCUUAUUCCCCAGCUCAUCAAUUUCCUGUUAUUGUUGGCAGUUGAGCUGAAACACCAGCAUUGAUCCCUCACCCUGGGAGAAGAUAAGGUGGGGGAAUCGAGAUGGAUUCCAUAUCUAUUAUCUAAUGGAAUUCCUCCUCCCAGAAAGGGCUAUGGAUUUUCUGCCACUGGAGCUGUGAAAAUGUGUGUCUGUGCUGGCCUCUGCUGUGUGUGUCAGUGUAUGAGUGUUCUCUCACGGAGCGGAUAGUGACUCUUUUUUUGUGGGGAAAAGUUAAUGCUGUGAGGGGAAUGUGUUGGAAAGUGGCAUUGAGGGUUUAAGGAGUGCUGAAGCAUUCAGGGAAAUGCUCACUCUGUAAAUGUGUAUUGACCUGCUGCUCUUUAAAUGGCCUUCUCAGGAAGCUACAGAUGCAUAAGGUCAUGUUCAUUAUGCGUUCCAUCAAACUGUCUCAUGAGUGUGCAAUUUUGUUUAAAUGGGGUGGUAUUAGGAAUAAUUUGCAAAUAAAAGUUUUGAAGAUGUGGUAUUUAUCCCAGCUUUC